rnacentral:rRNA from 1 species
UACAGAGGGUGCAAACGUUGUUCGGAUUUACUGGGCGUAAAGCGCGUGUAGGCGGCCGGCCAAGUCGGACGUGAAAGCCCGGGGCUCAACCUCGGAAGUGCAUUCGAUACUGGUCGGCUGGAGUCUCGGAGAGGCGGGUGGAACUCUCGGUGUAGAGGUGAAAUUCGUAGAUAUCGAGAAGAACACCGGUGGCGAAGGCGGCCCGCUGGACGAAGACUGACGCUGAGACGCGAAAGCGUGGGGAGCAAACAGG